GGAACCUGGCUCACGCCCGGAAGCAGUACGGUUCCACAAUGAAUGCAAUCAAUUCACCCGAACAAAUUCCUCUCACCGGGAUAACCCGGGCCAGAUAAACGAACCACCUCAUUGACGCCUCUGGCUCAAGCGGUCCUCUGUCAUCCGGGUAUCUGCCAUCGAGAGAGUGUGGGUGAGGAGGCGGGAAAUGGCGUCUGGGAGCACAUCGCAGUAUCAGCUACUAGACCGUUCAUAAAAAUAGCAAAGCAGAGAGGAAAUAAGAAGAAAAAGAAGAAGCAGCUGCUGUCCGCACCGUGGCAGCCAGCAGUGCUUGAUCAGUCAACUCGCUUUCUCGAUAAAGUGGAGUACUGUAAAGUUGCGGUACCUUCCUUGAUGUGGACAAUGUGUUACUACAUUACGCAAGCUCACAUUUUGAACACAUCAUAUUGUCUUACAUGUGGCUCUUAAAACAAUGAGGCUGAGAAUGCGGAAGGCAUCUCAGCAGUCGAGCCCUGCCCAUGCGCCCCGCCCAUCCCGGACCAAGCGGAGGCAUUCAGAAGUGGAGGAGUGCACGCCGACAGGUGGCGGGAGAGGCCUGCUGUCCACCAUUAAGAAAUUAAUCAGAGGAAAUGCUGUCAAGGUAGAGCAGGAGAACCCAGCAAAGAAGACACGGCUCACCUGCGACGUAGACGACAACCUGAUCUCUUCCACACCACAAGGUGGCGAUGCCCCCAGGAGGACCAUCUCCAGGGUCAGCAGGAGAAACUCAGUCAACGGGGAAGCGACAAACCAUGACACGAACCAUGACACGAGUAGUAAGCCUGUGAAGCCCAAUGGGAAGCUGGAAGAGGCGGCAGAGACUUUGACCAGUCCGCCAAGAACCACUCUCCUGGGAACCAUCUUCUCUCCAGUCUUCAACUUCUUCUCACCAGCAAAUAAAAAUGCCACGUCAGGUUCGGACUCCCCAGACCAGGCGUUGGAGGCUGAGGAGAUCGUCAAGCAGCUGGACAUGGAGACUGUGGAGGAGACCCCCACCUGCACUGGCACCACCACCGAGGAAGUGUGUACGACUAUGCCCCUUUACUCCAGCAACAUGCUGCCCCCCCUGCGGCCCCCACACCCUCCAGAAGUACCCAUCGAGGAAGAGGAGGUCGUCACAGACAUGCCUCCUCUCACAGCCCCAGACGCCCCUCCAGUGGGAGUCUAUGUGGAUGCACAGCCCACAGCCCCUGCAGAAGGGACAUACGAGGAGGACUGGGAGGUCUUUGACCCGUAUUUCUUCAUCAAGCAUGUACCUCCACUGACUGAGGAACAGCUGACCAGGAAGCCUGCCCUCCCACUGAAGACCCGCAGUACGCCAGAGUUCUCCCUGGUUCUCGACCUGGAUGAGACAUUGGUGCACUGUAGCUUGAAUGAGCUGGACGAUGCAGCACUUACCUUCCCGGUCCUGUUUCAAGAUGUCAUUUACCAGGUGUAUGUGCGUUUAAGGCCGUUCUUCCGAGAGUUCCUGGAGUGCAUGUCUCAAAUCUAUGAGAUCAUUCUCUUCACUGCCUCAAAGAAGGUUUAUGCAGACAAGUUGCUCAACAUCUUGGAUCCCAAGAAACAGUUGGUUAGACACAGGUUAUUUCGUGAGCAUUGUGUCUGUGUACAAGGGAACUACAUCAAGGACCUGAACAUCCUUGGAAGAGACCUGUCCAAGACUGUCAUCAUUGACAAUUCACCACAAGCCUUUGCAUAUCAGCUUUCCAAUGGGAUUCCCAUUGAGAGCUGGUUCAUGGACAAAAAUGACAACGAACUCCUGAAGCUUGUCCCGUUCUUGGAGAAGCUUGUUGAGCUGAAUGAGGAUGUGAGGCCACAUGUUCGAGAACGGUUUCGUCUGCACGAGCUUCUUCCCCCAGACUGAUCCCUGGAAUAGAUGGACAGAAGAGAUAACGAAUGAUUGAAUAAACCAACACAGACAUAUAGUACUGACCAGUUUGACACAGACAGGAAGACAUGUGACCAGUGACGGAUUUUUCCUCAUCAAGGUGACAAGAGUAUUUCCGUAUCCCUCCGACCAUUCGGAGGGCAGUGCUGAGUGAUUGGACAUCACCACAGUCCGACAGAUACUACAGUACUUCAGCAGGAACCAGGGGACAUUGCAGCUUACAGAUGACUACCUAGGCACCAUGGUAUCUGUGCUUUUUCAUACCCACUUGGUCAGGGACAGGAGCCUCUUUCCUGAACUGGUACCCCUACUUUCCCUGAUCAACCCUGCAGACAUCCAGUCUGACAUCACUGCCCCCCUUACAGACCAACCUCAUUGUGUAAACAACUAUGUCCUACAUUCCUCUAUGGUCGCUUUCGCUUUCUUCAGGAGAAAUGCAAUCAACAGCAACAUCAGGAGCCUGUCGGUGGAGCAGCGCAGGGCCUUGGGAGGUGGUACAGCCAAGCCCUCAGCUCCCUCAACAUGACAGCCGGCAGCCCCUCCUUCAUCAGGGACACUGGUAACCUGAUCGUCUACCUGCCCUUUCACAGCUUCCAGCACCUCUCACCUGCUCAGCUGUUGGAUGGAAUGGAUGUGUUGCUGAUGAACACCCUAAACCACCUACAGCAGGAGUUUGUGUCUGAGAGCCUCAUAGGGACGUUCAGAAAUCUAACAGCAGAACAAUUCAGGAGGUCAGUGUCACUAUUUGAUCGAUGGUUGUUCAUGUAUCCUCUCUUGCAGAAAGAUUCGGUUUCAAACAAUCUGAUUUGAGUGUAUGCGUUUUCAAGAAAAUACUUUCCCUAGUGCUAUGAAACUCCACACUCUGGUAGACACUGACGUAACCAACUGUUUGGGUCCCAAAAGUAUCUUUGGAUAUGCUUGAGUAAUUAUCAUCUUUGUCUCCCUAUGCUUGGCAACCUGACGUGUCUGUUAGACCCAAAGGACCUGCGGGUGUACAGAGACGCAGAGGCCUUCUCUGUGAUUCAGGACAACAUUAGGACAUGUGUUGUCCAGGGCCUCAGGAGCCCCUGGAACUACUUUAUUUUUCACCGCAAAGUUGAAGGUGAAACUUAUAUGGGUAUGAGUGAAGUGGACUAAUCUAUGGUUUGAAUGGCUUGUGUUUGCACUUUGUGUAAUUCCUGUGUAUAUAUGCGUGUGUUGUGCUUGUGACCAUCCCUCUUCAGAUCUCCAGCUUGUUCCUGAAUGGGAGUGAGCUUCAGUCUCCUGGCUCUCUCUCUGCCUGCUGAGUGUCUCAGCUGGCUCCCUUCUUGCCCUGUCAGCGUGUGGACUUCCUGCAGAAACUCCGCCAAUCCCAGCUCAGCUCUGUGCCCUUCACUCCUGCACAGGUAGAAUAUCAUCAUCAUCAGUCGUCACAAGCAUCCUCUCAUCAGAGAGAGAGCUCUAAUGGAGCACCUUCUGUUUGGUUUUCAUACCUGAUUGGGUUUGCUCAGUGCUGCCCGGCUUCAGUAACAGAGGGUGGGGAUGAUUAUGGGGUUAGAAUGGGGGUUGGUUAGUAGGGGCUUUGUGACCGAUGACAAGCAGCCAGUCUGCAGCAGUCUGACCCCAGGUGAGGUGAGGGGGGUUCUGGAGGUGCCUUGACCCUUUGAUUACAAAAGCACAACUAACCCCACAUUUUCAACGUGUGCCUUACGGCUGCUGCCUGCCAUGUGCCAUAAGGGGCCUUAGUCAAUGGAAUGGUAGGGUGGGGAAACAGAAGCAGAAAAUAAAGCUUUUGUUUUGAGCCCAGUCGGAUUUUCUUCAUUUUCCCAAGUAGUUUCCAUUUCAAUAAUACAGAUGUUAAUAAAAGAGUUGAGACCGGUCAUAAUGAUUUGUUCCGUCUACUUUUUGUGAUGUCAUCCUAGGCCAGUGUAAUUGUGGACAAAGUGUCUCUAAACAACAGUAUUAUUUCUGUUUUUGAAGGACAUGGCUUUCUGUUUCAGAAAGGGAUUGUAAACGGGGUUGCGUAUUGUCUCAGAUAUGGUAUGCUAGAUGUUUGAGAAUGUCUCUGUUUCAGUGUAAUGGUUCUGUGCAUAGUAAUGGUCCAUUCUGAGCCAGCUGGCCUAAAGCCUAGAGCAGUCUGGCCAGGGGUGACUCAAGGACACACACUAUCACCAUGGCAAACCACACAACCCUGUCAAGAUGUGUGUUUCCUUACUUCAUUAUACACCAGAUGACUCUACCUGUAUUAGCUAAGUAUCUAAUAGCUGUAUAGUGUUACAAAGAGCAAGGACAAUUUGUCAGAUCUUUUGUAUCUAGUUUCCUUUAACAGAUUUUUGCAUUAUUAAAAGUGUUUGAAUGAUGAGUUACUCUGUUCGCUGCUCUGGCCCCCCAAUGGUGGAACAAACUCCCUCACGACGCCAGGACAGCGGAGUCAAUCACCACCUUCCGGAGACACCUGAAACCCCACCUCUUCAAGGAAUACCUAGGAUAGGAUAAAGUAAUCCUUCUCACCCCCCCCCCCUUAAAUGAUUUAGAUGCACUAUUGUAAAGUGGCUGUUCCACUGGAUGUCAGAAGGUGAAUUCACCAAUUUGUAAGUCGCUCUUUCCUGCUCUCUCCCUCCUUGUGGUCCUUCUAGCUGGGAUAGAUGCAAACGCUGGGCUCUCUGGUGAGUGUGGUGAAGGUUGAGACUCUGUGGAGCUUGCCCUCUGACAUCCUGCUGUCGUCUCUUUCUGAUGUCACCCUGCACAUGCCCGGCCUCAACCCCCCCCCCCCACAGGCCAACACCAUCACCACCUUACUCUGGGUACGGCCUUAGAGGGACACACCAACACUGACCCCCAUCCUCACUGUUACGGAUACAGUUAUCCUGUGUGUGUGUGUAUCCUGUGUGUGUGUUUCUUUUCUCUCCUUCUCCCCUCACAGGUGAAAAUCAUCACUCCCCAAUCAGUCAACAAUCAAUCAUCAAUCAGAAGACACACCUCCUAUUUCCUAACCUAUCACAGUUCCUUCCCCAUGGUUUAAAAACCUCAUUUGUUUGUUCUAGAGCUCAAUCUCUCUGUAAAUGCCAUGUCUGUAGGUCUCUGUGUUUCACUCUCGCUUUGUGUCUUAACCUCUCUUUUGUUUAAGCACCUCAUAGCACUUUGUCAUCACCUGUGAGUAUUGCUUUUGGUUAUGGUGUCUGUUUGUUGCUGGUGGGAAAAGGGGGAAACCAAGACAAGUCGCCCAUGGGCAUACACUACCCGUAGGUGAACUUUGUUAAAUACACUAGUUAGAACUGGGCGGACCACCCACUGUAUUUUUGGUUAGUUAGUUAGCUGUUGUUAAAGUAGGCUAGUCUAGCUUAGGGGUGUUUUUGUAUACUUAUUGUUUCUUUCCUUGGGUCCAGCUCAGCCCCUUUUCCUGCUCCCCCCAUUACCGUGUGUUUCUAAAUAAACCUGGAGUUUGACGGUAGAUUUCUGUUGUCGU